CUUUAUUGGAGAGUUUGAUCCUGGCUCAGGACGAACGCUGGCGGCGUGCCUAAUACAUGCAAGUCGAGCGAAUUGAUGGGAGCUUGCUCCCUGAAGUUAGCGGCGGACGGGUGAGUAACACGUGGGUAACCUGCCUGUAAGAUUGGGAUAACUCCGGGAAACCGGAGCUAAUACCGGAUAAUAUUUUGAACCGCAUGGUUCAAAAUUGAAAGAUGGUUUCGGCUAUCACUUACAGAUGGACCCGCGGCGCAUUAGCUAGUUGGUGAGGUAACGGCUC
rnacentral:rRNA from 1 species